UAUGCGUUGUGCAUUAUGCCUUUAUGCAAGAGUGUGUUCCCCGCUUUAAAAGCGGGAGCACGGACUUUUGCAUAAAGUACAAUACAUAAAGGAAAAUAAACCAAUCAGAGUCCUUCAUUUCUAUUCGAGGGAUAAAAAUCAAGACUGUGAAUAAUUUAUCUUUUAUACGUUAUGUAUUAUAUUGUAAUGGCGUUGAGGCAUAAUUCUUAGAGUUUGGAGCCAUUUAUUGAAGUUGAAGUUAUGUAUUAUAUUUUAUGUGCAAUAGCUUGCUCUUGUCCUUACCCUGCGUUACUUUUUGACCCCUGAACUGAUGUAUUAUAAAAUAAUAAGUUAAAAAUAAUGGGAGGUAUAGUGAAGUUUGCCACUAGAGAUUAAUCUGUAGAUACGUGCAAGGCUGCUACGAAGAGGAGACUUGAGUAAUUUUUUUCGGUUUCUCUCGCUAAUUUUUAUACUUGUUAAUAAACAUUUUCUGGUAUUUUACAGAGAUUUAGUGUAUUUUUCGUGUAGUUACAAUAGACCUGUUCUUUGUAGCUGCACUGCUGAACUGGUGCAAUAUAUUGAAGUGAAACAAAUAUAAGUUUUCUCACUCUAACUUAUUGCACUAGUUCAGCAGUGCAGCUAUAAAGAACAGGCCUAAUAUAUCUCGAUACUUUUAUAACAUAUUCUUUCAAGAUAUAAUGCUCAUAAAGUGAUGAAGUAAAAAUAGCCGAGAUAGACUGUGACACCCCAGGUAGCAAGGUGACAAGAUCAAUUCGAGAUCAAUAAUCAAAACACAUCCUCCUUUCUACUAACCUGUUUGACCGCUUACCUGCUUACCUACCAGCCCACCGGUAUGUGCACGAUCGUGCUCCCAAUUUUAGCGCUCAAGACGCGAGAGAAAUCCCUCAAGAGCAUUGAAGGUAAAGACUUCAGAGAGCUUGUGGCUGGGCUACGCAGCUACUCUAGGAGCGGCUCUAUUUUUGCUAUUUCUUAAUCUGUAUCGCGUAUUUUUGCCUCCCCCUCCUAUUGAGUUACGUGCACCCCAGUGAAAGGGUAGUGGCAUACACGUGGCUGACACAUGGCCGCAUGCCAAAUAUAACGAACGCGGGGAAGCUGCCGCUUGAAAUACACAGCUGUUGGCCGUACAUGGUCUAAUGCAACUUCGGAGCUAGUAUACACAUUGUGUAUAUUUGGCUCUGUUUAUAGAAAUCUUUGAAGAGGUUUCUUCCAUACUGGAUCAUUCCCAGAAAACACAAUCUUUCAAAGAUGUUCCAAACACAUCCUGAGGACUUCUAAAUGUCCAUAUAAAUUCCCAGGAUAUCCUAAAGAUAUGACUUCUAAAGACUUCUAAAUGUCUGUAUAAGUCUCCAGGAUAUCCCUUGAAGGUCUUGUUGCUUUUUGAGUUAUGAUCUUAGAUCAUUUGUUUAGUAUUUUUCUGCAUCUCUUACAUUUAAUAAAGUAAAAUUGUUGUACAGACAAUUGAUAUCUAAGAAAGUUGAUUGAAAUGAUUUACUGCGCCAUUUGCUCAUUGCAUGUGUGAAAUUGAAAUUCUCAAUUAUAGCAAUGGUCGCGUAUAUUGGGUGGCAACUUCCUUUCUUAAAGUCACAGCUGAUUCGUAUCCUUAAGUGGUAAGCCGCCACGAUAAAAUGUAAAGGAUUAUACAAUAUAUAUUAUAUGUAGUUAUUAUAUAAUAUACAGUUUUAUUACCAUAUUAUCAUUAAUCAUAAGGUAUAAUAAGAAGAACGAUUCGUCGGACAGCAAUAUGAGCCGACAUCGCAGUGGCCGGUAUGGACGAUCGUAUUCCUCGUUAUUGUUGCUGUUUUUGUUCGAUUACCAUCUUGUAGGCAUCAUGGAUGCCAAACUUACGCGAUCAUCAGCGAGCGAGCACGUGUCAUGUGUCUAUAAUAUAGACGUAUGGAUUCCGUAUAGGUGUUUGUGUGUGUACGUGUACACGAUAGUUGCACAUCAUUGGGUUGAGAAGAACUCGUUGUUCAGAGGUCAAGGAGACUAUCAAUAAAUUAGUUAUAUGUUCAUAAACAAACGUGUUGUAUAAACUACAAAUUACAGUACAGUCUGGUAAAUGUGUAGCAUAAAAGCACUUAGGUAAUCUUUUUUUUUUUUUACUUUUGCGAUCCUCUUUCUCAUAUUCCUAUCUCCUUUCUCCCUUUCUCUCUCUCUCUCUCUUCUCAUCUUCCUUUCUUACUAUCUCUCUCUUCCUUCCCUCUCUUUUCGCGUCUAUGUAUCUCGUGAGGAAUAUGAUAUAACUUAAAAUACGGCCGUAUGCGUGGAAAAGGAGACAAUCGACGAAGAGAAAGAAAAGAGUUGCGGCGGUGACGCUGUUUAAUCUUUGGCAAUGCGUGCUUAGAAGCAUUUGCGGUGGACAAUGCCGGGGCCGGAUUCGUCGUACUCCUGUUUGGAGAUCCACAUCUGUUGGAAGGUGGACAGGGAGGCCAGGAUGGAACCGCCGAUCCAUACGGAGUAUUUCCUCUCGGGAGGAGCGA